rnacentral:rRNA from 1 species
UACGUAGGGGGCCAGCGUUGUCCGGAAUCAUUGGGCGUAAAGCGCGCGUAGGCGGCCAGAUAAGUCCGGUGUGAAAGUCAAAGGCUCAACCUUUGAAUGCCGCUGGAAACUGCCUGGCUUGAGUCCGGAAGGGGCGAGUGGAAUUCCUGGUGUAGCGGUGAAAUGCGCAGAUAUCAGGAGGAACACCAACGGCGAAGGCAGCUCGCUGGAACGGUACUGACGCUGAGGCGCGAAAGCGUGGGGAGCGAACAGG